UCAACUAUGCCUCCGCACUUUCUAAUUCCGAGAUAGAAGGCCGAUUAGAAGAUGGAUGUGACGAGAGAACAUUCAACACGCUCGAGGGCAUCCGUCCCUUCCCGCCGAAGUAGACUUGAGUCAAAAACUUUUGUGUCCUGCAAAUAUGACGUACUAUGUCGUCUACCACGGCAGGGUUCCUGGAGUCUACGAGGACUGGGAAGACUGUAGGAGGCAGGUCCACCGUUUCAGCGGCAACAGCUACAAGGGGUACACCACUUUGGAGGAGGCGGAAACUCGAUACGCCAACUUUCGAGCGGGACAGAGGAGGGAGAUGUGGAGGACCCCUUUCAUCGUGAUGAUGCUUGCCGCCACCGUCUCUCUAGUUUAUUAUGUCAUUGUUGUUUAGCUAGGUCAUCGACACUGGACUUAUAUGUAUUUCUGUAACAUGUGCUACUUCGAGUCGUGAUGUUAUGGUCAACUAUCUACUAUCUAAACUUGUCUUAUUAAUGCAUGCAUGUUGUGAACAUUUGGGACUUUCUAUAUAACUGUGUAUCUGGCUGUAUUUCUAGUAAUAUCUGUGUUAUACUUU